CUGUGAUUGCCUCAUGUGUCUCACCGAGGGAUGCCCGUGUGCUGCCAGAGAGCAAACCAGAUCCAUGCAGUGUGUGAGUGAAAGCCAGCAUCAGUUGAGCUUCUUCCUCUGUAAUGCCAGAGCUGAGCAUAGGACCUGGUCUGCUUUCCAAAAGAAGGAUAUAACAAAGUCAUGGCAAAGAAUAUGUAGUCUGGAAUGAUAAGAGUGCAACAUGUCCUGAGCGAUUAUCAUGGCACCACCUCAAUGAUGCAUCCAGGAUGUGCUACAGCUUAACUGAUGUCUGCCGUGUUCUCCACCUCCACUGUCCACUGCACCCCAGUAAGAGGAAGGGCUACAGUGCGUGUGACUGCAGGAGGAGCCCACAGGGCAUUCCCUGGGCAUGAGGACAGAAGAGCCUGUGACUCCAGAGAAGGAAGGCUGCAGCUGCAGCAGAAGUAGAAGCACAUGGGAAAAUGACUCACCUCCCAGGGGCUAGACAUGGAUUUUCAACCCAGCAAAGCACAGGAAAAAUGACAUGAAGGUGGAGUGUUAUGCUACUCGAGGAACAAAAUGUCAUGGCAAAUAACUGCUUCGAGUCUGGUCUAUUCUUUUACAGACUUGUAGGCUGUGAACAGGGUCCAAAGUACAAGCCUUUACUCUGGGAACCAUUGCCAAGGAGAUGAUUAUUCAUUAACGGUGGGUAAGGAAAAAUUGGCUUAGAAAAAUCUCACAUCUCUGGGGGGAGUCUCUGCGUUAAUUUUCUGUCAAACUCCUCUUGGUAUUCUGUGUAAGCAUUACUCCAAAUUAAUAAUGCAAAAUAACUAGAAAGUUGCAGAAACCCCAAGGAGAACAUUGCAUUUUUUUAGCCGAAAUGAGCUUAAUUAAUAUUGUUUGAUGCAUCCAUUUGUCCCCAAAAUCUGCUGAACUAUUUCUGGCACAGGUACCUGAAUAAUUACUUCACUAUGCACUUUAUAUAAAAAAUAUAAAGGACAUUUUAUCUCUCAAUUAGAAUUGGUGGAAUAGUAAUUGCAAAUAGGGUGUUUGAUUAAUUUUCACUAUCAUUACUGAGUAUGUUUCUUAUGAAUAAAUGCCUUCAUUAAUAAAUCAAUUUUAUAGAAUAUAAAUACAUUUUUGGGAGGUACUUCCACCACUCACUGAAGUAAUUGUUCUUGAAUACUUCUACUCCUUAAGCCAGCUGUAUUCUAUUAAGAAAGAUACGAACCAUAGUUCAGGGAAAGACUGUAUAUUUUUAAAGCCCGCAGGGAAAACUUCUCUCGUAUCAAAAUUUUUUCUAUAGAUAUAAUCUUUGACCUGGAAGCCCCGUGCUCUGAGCACAGUCUGUGAAGCAACAGGGCCCUGGGGACAACCACAUGUGUGUUUGAAGCCCAGCGCUGCAGGGAGGUGAGGGGUGCUGACACCAGGUUUUGAAUGGGCUGAGUGGUUUAAAGUCAGUGUUCUGAUCUGCAGGGCUGUAUUAAAGUGCCUUCAGGUGUUGCAGAACUUGAACACAUCCCUUUCUGAGGGGUAAUCCUGGGAACCUGGGCUAUGCAGAAACACAGAAGGGCUGGUGCUGUGGUUCUUGCCUUUCCCAGGGCUAAAUUUCAUCUUGCUCUUACAUUUGCAUUCAUGGUAGAACUGUACAGAUUAAUGACUGUUCAGCAAUAAGGAUUGAAAGCAAUGCCUCCUCAUAGCUCGAGUCUUGAAAGAAUGACUCAUUCUAGAAGGAGACUGACAGCAUCUGUCAAAGCACAGACACACAUUGUAGCCUUUUCCCACAGUUAAGCAGGUUCACAUUUGAACAUUUAGCAUGGCCUCUAAAUUUUUCACUUGCUUCUCAGAAAAAGGAUUCAAUCUAAUUUUGAUAUUUUUAUACAGCAGCAAUCCUCUUUUCAUUUCAAGAAUCUGCUCUUUUUAUUCCUGUGACUAAUUGUUCAUCGACUCCUUGUUGACAAAUGCCAGUUAGUGUGGUUGGUGGGAGGAAUUCAAGGAAACUAUGAAUUACGGCUUGUCUCUUGUUGGCUCUUCACUCUGCAGUCCAUCUGGUAGACAAAAUUCCUCAGUGUAGUGUGCCGAGGGAUGAGAAUGCCUUUGUCCUGGGCAGCACCACAACCACUUCAAGGCACACACAUGGCAUGUGGGGCUCCCUGCUCUGAGCCACUGCAGACACCACAGGAGAGAAGGGCUGAAGACCAUUUGUGGAACAAAAGCAUUUGCCUGCACUGUAAUCUGAAUUCAGCCUAAUUAGGUAACUUGGUUGGAGGUGACUGAAAAGAAGUAAUAGCGCUCCUAAAGAUACUAAGCCUCUUGCCCUGUACCAGGGUCAUACCCUUGAUUAUCAGGAAUGCAACAAGCUGAGCUUCAUCCCCAGGCAUGUUUCUGUAUCCUUUGCCUGUUUUCCCACUACUGGAAAAAACUUGCAAAGGCCUUCUAAUUGUUGUUACAAACACAACAGCAACAGCUCCCUUGUGCACUGGUAAAAUGUGUUGAUGCCACCUAUUUCAGUGGGAGUUUCUUGGAAUGAACCUUGCCCUCCAGUUUGUCUUCACAAAUCUAAUUGAUGGAAAAAGUCUGUUUGUGGACUGUUAUUUUUUUUUUUUAAGGAUGGUCAGGGUCUCUAAAGAAAUCUUCUUGUGCUGCCUUGCAAAAGCAGGACAGCAGUGCUGUGAGAAGGGACAUGAGCAGGAGCUCCUGUCACCCUGCAGCAAUGCCAUCUAAAGGGCACAAGGUCGUGUGGUUGUAGGAGGAAAACUAAAGGAAUUAAAAAUAAUAAAAAGGCUCAAACCACUCCUGUCUACUAAUGCCUGUCUUGGGAUCUCUAAUGGCUAUAUGGGGUGUUAGCUUCAUGGGCUUCCAACUUCGUACCACAAAAUUGAAGUAGAGGCCUUGCAGGCAUUUCAUGAGCUACUGACUCAAAUGAAAGUAUAUAAAAUUUUUUUUUUUUUUAAUCAUAAGGGUUUUUCUCUCAUAUGUUUCUCAUCCCCCAGGUACAAUAUAUUUAAUAUAAAACUAGACAACAACAUGCAGAAGUGCCCAAAGGUUGGUGCUGAAUGCUGUCCUGUGUUCUGGCAGAACUUAUGUCCCCCGACAUGUUCAGGUCAGGCUGGUACACUUGCACACGAUAUGCUCUGAAAAACUGUUGUGCUGUGCCUUUGGUGCAUGUAAUAACACUGUGUAUUUUUUACAUAAUUAUGUUCUGUGUAGUAUUUUGCUAUAUCCCAUUUGAAUUAUUUUAAUCAUUCAAUACACAUACUGACGAAAUUCUCUUUACGGUUGUCUUAAAAUUUAGAGAGGCUUUGCUCUUUCUAGUGGAUCCUACCAUAGUAUUAAAUAUGAAAGACACGAAUCCCACCAGUAUGUCUAUGUUACCAAUCAAUGAGAAGAUCAUUUGCACUAUUUUUUUAAAGAAGAGACCAUAUUGCAUCUGUCUCUCAGAAAUGCCAAAUACCAUUUCGUAAGGAGACAUUAUUUCUAAUUAUGUGUUCAUCUUGGGCCACUGUUUUUUUGUGACCUUUAUUUGAACUGACACAUCAGUGAAAAGAGCAGCCAGCCACUGAAGAAAGAGUGGAUAAUUCUCUCUGCCUGCCUGCUUUAGUGAGGACACGUUUACCAGGUGCCUCAUGAGAGAUUCGAGAUAUGUGAUUAUUAAUUAAUGUUUUUGGUUCAUUUCCCCUCAGGUUUUUAUAAGUGAAAAUAGAAGUGCUUCUCCCAGGUUUACCAAAUUAGAAUCAGAACUUCAGCUCUGAAUGCUGGGAGAAAGAAAACCCCAUUCUGUCAUCACUGAAGAUGUGAUUGCUGUGCGAAGAGCCCUGUAAUCCAGGAACAACUUGUGAACGUGGGAGAGGAAACGACCACUCAGCCAUGCAUGCUGUACUUAUAUGACAUUUCUUCAAGAUGUGAAAGAUAUUAAGAAGAACUAUCUGCUGAAUAAAAAGAAAUAAAUUGAAAACAAAGCUCUUACAUUGUAUGGAAUGCAGUGAAGCUGCAUAGACCACCCUUUUCAAGGAGUGGGGAGGAUUAGGAGGCAGCGCUUCUACAGCACCCAACCUGUUCUGCAUGCUGGGAUUUAAAUAUUCUGGUAAGAAAAAGGGGGAAAAAAUAAAUCUGCAAGAUGUUGUGGGUUAGGCUGUCCCUGUUCUGAUUACAGUACCGUGGCUUAGACUUUUUCAUGUUGAUCUGCCUUCUCUUCAUCCCUUGUCUGGAGGACUCACAGUGGGAGGGGGGAUUUCAGACAAAUGCUGUCCUUAUGCUACAGUCCUCAGUGGUUUUUGGAUAACAUCUAAAGGAGGACCUUGCUGACAUGUUAACUUGAUGGAAACCCUGAGACGAGUUUCCCAGGCAACAAGGAAAUGGUUGCACUGAUUUCCACUCACUAAACGCAAACCAGCUAUUUAACGGAUGACUAAAAUGGAACAAAUAUUUUAAAUUCUUAAAUACCACUGAGAAGAAACUAAUUAUGUAAAGUAAAAAGGCAAAUUAGCAUAAAAUUUAGAAAAGAAGAUAUUUACAUUUUAUAUCAGAAACAUAGUCUCAGGCCAACAUAUAGGGCUGUGCCUAAAAGUGAUCACAAGUCAGGACUUCCGCUGCAGGGGAAGCUGAAGAGCUUGAAAUUCUGUUUUAGCACAAUUAACAGAUUUUUUUUUCUAUUUCUGCGUUGGCAGGAAAAUACCAGAGACACUCAACUCAUUUUGUCUUGAAAACUGUGAAGGAAGAUGAUAGUUGUAGGUACCAGGAAUGGGCUCUCAUUGAAAUACAGUCCCAGCGUUUCUCAGCUGAGAGUUUCCUGCUCAUUCUGUGCAGUCUGUGGGAACCAGGGCACAGGGGCAAUGUAAAGUUGGAGCUGCAGAUGCCAGGGCCUGCAGCUGCCUCUGCUCAGGGUCAGCCCAUAGCACACGGCUGCCUCAGGGCCCCCAGGGGCCCAGGAAGCCCCAGGUGCAAAUGUGUCUGCGUUGCACAGCUCGGAUUCUGGGCACACAGAGAAGCCUGUGGUCCUGAAGCUCUGCAGGUGAACUGGUGGGAAGACUGAGUUUGGACUGCAGUUCAUCCAAGGUUCAUCAAACCAGGUACAUUUUUACAAAGUGGAUUGAUUUUGAAAGAUAAACCACUCUGGACUAAAAAAAGAAAAACAAGAUAAAGAAAUUGUUGGAGAGCUCUCAGCUGGGUCCUUGCCUGUGGUCUUAUUUGCUGGAAACAGAGGAGGCCAAAAGAGUUCAGAACACCAACACAUCCAUGGAUUAACAUCAAGAUGUUUCAACCAAUCUCCAGAGGCCUGCUGGUGUCACCAUCUGAGCCAUCUACACAGCUUAUUCACUCCUUCCAGAGCACAGUGCUGCACUGCCCCAUGCCCACAACAUGGCAGCAGUGUCUGCCUUGCGCCCACAACAUGGCAGCAGCUGUUGCUCCAUGCCCACAACAUGACAAUUAUGGUUGCUCCGCACUCACAACAUGGUGGCAGUGGUUGCCCCAAGCCCACAGCAUGGCAGCUGCAGCUUCCCUGUGCCCACAACAUGGCGGCUGCAGUUUCCCUGUGCCCACAACAUGGCGGCAAUGGCUGCCCCACACCCACAACAUGGCGGCAGUAGCUACCCUGCUCCCCCCUGGCUCGAGCUGACUGCUGAUCAGAAACACUGGAAGAUAGCCAUGCUGUCAACGCAGCCAUCACAGAAGCUCUCUCCUCCCGCAGAUGACAGGUUGGAUGACUGCAUUUCUUCAAGGCCUGAGUGCACCUGGGCUCGCAGCUCAUUUUGAGGCAUGGCACUGACUGCUGAGUGCUCCUGAACAGCCUCUUUCAGAACAGAGCUCUCUCGGAUUUCAAGUAGACAAUGUGCUGGAUGGGUUGCCACAUGCCAACAUCUGACAGUACAGGGAAUUUGGAAGAGAAGCUGGGGUUAUACUGUAGUGAUGGAGUCAAUGGACUAUUGGUAAUUUUUAGAGUGAAAAAAAGUGGGAGGAAAACUAGCUCACAAAAAGCAAUAGUUGGCAAUUAAUGAAAACCAGCUUUGCUCUUUGAAGACUUCACAGAUGCAGGGAUGGGACAAAUGCUUUUUGGUCGAGGUUCGGCAGGUUCAAGGGGGUCACAUAGUUCACAGCACAGCAUUGGCCCGAGCUGCCGGGUGCGAGUCGACAGCUUUGAUCUCCUGUGCUCCUCCCAGUUGGCUGCUGCUGUGUCAGAAAUGCCUCUGUUGUUCGUGGGGAUGGGAACGUGAUAAAUAAUUUCAGUGCACACUGAAUGCAAAGCAUCAGUGCUUUCCUGGCUCCAGAAACGGCUGCAUGGUAAAUCUUUUCCUGUAGCCAACCUCAUUCCGAGACAUCAUACUCCUCCUAGCUCUUGCUUCCCAUAUACCAGAUGAAGAAAUAAGCAGGAACAAGCCCAGUGACCUCAGUCAAGCUGUGUUAAAUCUUUUGCAGCCACAAAACAUUUCCUCUGGCUGCCUGAACUGUAAGCAGACACCUGUGAGUUAUGAUUCUUUGUGGCUCAACCGAAGGAUAGACAACGAGACCACUACUGCCACUUGGGAAAACCCAUUGAACAUUUACGGGAAUGCAGAAAACAUUCCUACAGUAACAUGGGUGGGAAGAGAGCUGUGCCUUUGAAUCUCACCCCCAGCAGGAGCUUCUCAGCCCAGCAGGAGCAUGGGGAUUUCUGACACCAGGAGCAGAUGCAAAUGGCUGUAGGGCUUUACAUCCCCACUGCAGUAUGAUUUUUGCCUGUGGAAAGCAGGCCUAUAGCAUGGCUGUCUGUGUCUCCAUGCCAUGUUCCUGCUUAACAAAUCUCCCAGUUCUUAGCACCCAAGUGAAAAGUAAAUGGGGGAGCAUGAGUUUGGGUGAUAUGACACAGUAUGUGUUGCCUAUACAAAGCAUCCUCAUCUGUGAAGCCAGCAGGAUCUUGGGUACCUGCAAACUAUUAAUUUCCUGUGUAAGGACAGCAUGAAGCAUGAAGGGAGAAACCCAACGUUUUUGAAAUCCAGUUCUAGGUUUAUUUACACUUGGCUGAAAUUUCUUUCUGUUGCACAACAGCACAGUGAGCUGUGCUGGUAGAGAUGGGAUAAAGAUGGAGCAAUUUUUUAUUUAGCUGUACAGGAGCAGAAUAAACUACAUAUACUUUCCCCUCACAUGUGGAUUUAUGUGAAAUAUUGACACAAUUAUGUCCAUCUAUCGAGGUGACAGCAGCUUUUUUUUGGAUACUGUUCUAAAAUACAACUGUUUACUGAUUUGUCAUCUUUUCUCUUAGAACAAAGGAGGGAUGAUCUUGUUUUUUCACCUCUUGGAUCUAUUUAAGUAAUCUCAUCCCCUCAUUGGUGAAUACAAUGAGGUGUGAUUUUCAUAUAUUUAUACAUGUAUACAUACAGCUAGCAGAGUGGCCC